rnacentral:tRNA from 1 species
AGCCAGUGUGGUGUAGUGGUUAGAGUGUUGGACUAGGACCUGGGAGACCAGGGUUCAAAUCCCUACUUGGCCA